AAUAAUGUGCAGUGGCUUUUUUUUAAUUUAUAUUUUUAAUUUCUGAGCAAGUUAAGCCUGGAGAAAUGCAGUGGCUUUCAAGCAUUGUGACCUGUGUGAGGAAUACAUAUUCCGUUAUGACUUAGCAUUCACAUAUGCACACAUACAUAUAUGUAUACAUAUCACAUACACAAAUAUGCAUAUAUGUACAUAUACAGCUGAAGAAGGUCUGUGGAUUAGUGCUUUUCCUUAUUGUGGAGCACAGUGAUAUUUUCUUUCUUUCUUUUCUUUUUGAGACAGAAUCUCUCUCUGUUGCCCAGGCUGGAGUGCAGUAACACGAUCUCGGCUCACUGCAACCUCCGCCUUCUGGGUUCAAUCAAUUCUCCUAUCUCAGCCUCCCAAGUAGCUGGGAGUACAGGCAUGUGUUACCAUGCCCAGCUAACUUUUUUGUAUUUUUAAUAGAGACAGGGUUUUGCUAUGUUGGCCACGCUGGUCUCGAACUUAUGACCUCAAGUGAUCUACCCGCCUCAGCCUCCCAGAGUGCUGGGAUUACAGGUGUGAGCCACUGUGCCUGGCCAAUAUUUUCUAUUUUAUUUCAUUUUGAAAAAUGUAGGCUGUGACUCAGUAUGGAUCUCAUGACUAAGAAUGGAUCCUGACCCAAGUUUAAAGAGACUGGUGGGGUAAAGAGCGUGGGCUCCAAAGUUUGUCUACCCAGUUUUAAAUCCUGGCUUUCCCCUUAACUUGGGUGGGAUCAUACCAUCAACCGUGUUACCAAUCUGAAGCUUUGGCUCCCAUGCCUGUGAGAUGUGAAUGUUGAUAACAGACACCUACCUCAUAGGAUUAAUGAGAAGAUGCCAGGAUACAAUGCACUGAAGGUCUUAGCAUGCCUGCACAGAGCCCCAGCAACUGUUAAUUGCCGCCGCUGCUGCUGCUGCCACCGCCAUGGUGGUGACUGUCCUUACUAAGAUGCUGCAGCUAGAUUGGUUUCUUGGGAAGUUGUGGAAUUCUGUUCCCUGAGGAUGUUGAGAAGGACAGAUUGUACUUACCAAGAGCAUUUAUUGUUGCUUUAUUUUCUUAAACAUUUCUAAUGAAAAUCGUCAAGUCUAUAAAGUUGAAAGAACAGUGCAAAGAACCACCUAUAUGUCCAUCACCUAGAUUCGUCAACACUUAACACUUGCUAUCUCUGUUUACAUAGAAACAUUUCCUUUUUACUAGUCUGCCUGGAAGUUGGCUAUAGACUCAUUAGCCAAGAACAAGAACACUCUCUUACACCAUCACACCGUUGCCACACUUAAGAAAAUCGGCAUUGAUCCAGUGUCAUUGUUCGAUGUACCAUCCAUAUUCACAAUCUUCCAGGUAUCGGUAAUAUUUUAAAUAUAACCCAUUCGCUGGUCGCGGUGGUUCAUGCCUGUAAUCCCAGCAAUUUGGGAGGCCAAGGUGGGUGGAUCACGAGGUCAGGGGUUCGAGACCAGCCUGACCAACGUGGUGAAACCCGUCUCUACUAAAAAUACAAAAAUUAGCUGGGCGUGGUGGUACACACCUGUAAUCCCAGCUACUCAGGAGGCUGAGGCAGGAGAAUUGCUUGAACCUUGGCAGUGAGCUGAGAUUGUGCCCCUGCACUCCAGCCUGGGUGACAGAGUGAGACUCCAUCGCAAAAAAAAAAAAAAAAAUGACCUAUUCAAUGACUUUAAGAUGGAUUAGAUGGCCUGUGGAGUUACUCAUGGAGCUGAAGACUUCUGUGAAAUAAAAACCAACCACCCAGUAUUAAGUUUAACUCUCUUGUGGAAUAUUAAAUCAACUGUGUGUUGUGAACUCUCGAGAGCUGUUGAGAUGGAAGCUGUGGUUGUUUACGCUUUGUUAGCUUGGACAGUUAGCUUGGCAGUAAUCACAACAGCUUUAGGGAGUGCAUCCUUUGCCAGUUCAUAAAGAUGUAUUCUGAUAAUGGGGGACCAAAAGGAUAUAUCCUGAUAUGCAAAGUAGUAGAGCAAUAGAUUUCAUUUGGAUUUGAAUGUAAGUGGCUGUGAAUUAGAAAUAUUUGUUGGAAUUAGAAGGUGUCUAGGUAGGAAUUUAAGGUUUCCCCUCAGAUGGAGAAUGACAAGGCUGUAUUCUAAGGACAGAAUUUAAGGUGAACACUAUGGAAAUUUGUGCAUGUGUGUUUUUAAGAAAACAUACACAAGGUAAGGAAAUUCAAGCAACGAAAAAAAGGCAUUCAGUAAACAAUAAGUCCCAUCUUGCUAGUUUCUUCUGUAUUUCUUCAGGGCUACUUUAAUUGAUUCUAAAAUUAUUUCUCAGCUUUAAAAAAAAUCUCUAAAAUCAGGGUAUAUCUUAAAAGCAAUAGAAUGCUCCGGUUUAAUUGGCACAUGAUUUAGUGAUACAUAAAAUAAAGGCACCUCUUGCGUGGCAUCUUCAAUUUGAAGAAGUAAUAAUAUUCUGGCCAGACUCAGUGGCGCACGCCUGUAAUCCCAGCACUUUGAGAGGCCGAGGCAGGUGGAUCACGAGAUCAGUUCAAGACCAGCCUGGCCAACAUGGUGAAACCCCAUCUCUACUAAAAUACAAAAAUUAACUGAGCGUGGUGGUGCGUGCUUGUAAUCCCAGCUAGUCGGGAGGCUGAGGCAAGAGAGUUGCUUGAACUAGGACCCGGGAGGCAGAGGUUGCAGUGAGUUGAGAUUACGCCACUGCACGCCAGUCUGGGCUACAGAGCGAGACUCCGUCUAAAAAAAAAAAAAAAAAAAGAAGAAGUAUAAUAUUCUAUGAAUAUACAAAUUUCUGGGUUUUUUUGUCCCCUGAACUCCUGCCCUUUUUAAGACAUAUAGUAAUAUAGUGGGGUUAUAGGUUUAUAUACUACUACUUAGCUGUGCAGAGAAAUUACAGUAUUAAAAAAAAAUCACCAAUCUGUCUUCUUCCUAAGUCAUCAUCUAGAAAUGGGGAGAAGCAAAGAAUGGUGUUUUGGCUAGUUAAUAAGGUCUUAUAUUCUUUUGGUUUAAGCAGUAUCUUUUGGGUAAAUUCUGGUUUUUUUUUUUCACAUAUCCUGCCGUCCCCAUUAAAAACCAGCAUUUGGUCUUGGGGGAUUGUGAGAUCUUGUGGCAGCAAGGGAGGCCUUUGCCUAUGCUUGCUUGCCUUAGCUCACCUAGUCUGGUCUGAUCUGGUCCCUGGGCCUUUUGCAGGUAUCCCCUGAGGUGUGUGGUGAUCUUGCAUUUUUUUCUUUUGUCUCCAUCAGGGCCAAGGAACUGUCUUUGCUUCCUUUUGGUACAUUCACCCGGUGGCAGAUGUCAUGGCUCUCAGAAAAAGCUACAGGAGUCUGAGCGUGCUAACACUCAGCUCUUUCCUCUGCCUUACCAGGCCAUGCAACAUCACCAUUUUAUUCUGUAGCCAUCCAUAUUGGGAAGGGUGGAAGGUUGCAUCUGCAAGGUGGUCUUCUCCUAGAGUUUCAAUUAGGAAGUGGGGCAAUAGCCCCAGUACCUUCCCCUCAACCUGACGAUCAGUCUGCCCUCCCUCCACCUAUGCUAGUUUUCAGUCUCUUGCUUGUUAUCUCAAAAUCCAUUCUUCUUUGCCAUGUUUCAUGACAUGGGAACUGGACUCUGUCAACGGUUUUCCUUUGCCAGCUGGCAAGAUGUUAGGCUUUGUCAACAGAGUGCUGGAGAGACACUGCAAGGCCAUGGUAGGAGGAGGGCAUCCUUUCCUGUGCUAAUUUUCAUUGGUGAGUGAGUAUCAGUGGACUGGUGUGCAAGACACCCCAGAAAUACAUAGCAGCCAUCAUAGACAGCCCACUGGGUGGUACCAUGGAUCAUCUCCAACUACACAUACCCUUCAGGGAGUUUCUCCACCACGUGGUGGGCUGCUGCCCUGGGCCAGCUCUGGAUCACGCCCUGUGACAAGCAUGUUUGCCACCACAGGCUGUGUUCCUGUGGAGCUAUGCCAUCUCUGAAUAGUCUGAAUCUCAGCUUUGGGUUUGGAGGAGGCUCUCCUAAGUUCUUAGUUCCUCCCUCUUCACUCUUCCUUGGCUCUAAGUAGUAGACACUUUGCUCAUUUGCUACUUCUGUACCCCUGUGUCCUCUUUUAUCCCUCUGUUAUUUGUUAAAAAUCUUGGCCGGGUGUGGUGCCUCACGUCAGUAAUCGCAGCACUUCGGGAGGUCAAGGCAGGUGGAUCACUUGAGGUCAGGAGUUUGAGACCAACCUGGCCAACAUAGUGAAACCCGCCUCUACUAAAAAUACAAAAAUUAGCAGGGCAUGGUAGUGCAUGCCUGUAAUCCCCCUACUCGGGAGGCUGAGGCACGAGAAUUGCUUGAACCUGGAAGGUGGUGGCUGCAGUGAUCCAAAAUUGUGUCACUGUACUCCAGUCUUGGCUACAGAGCAAGACUCUGUCUCAAAAAAAAAAAAAAAAAAUCUCCUGUGGGACUUUAACCUGUGGAAGUGAUUGCAUGAUGGCACAGAAAGACUAAUGCCAAUAAAAUAAAAUUUGUAUUACAUUUCCAAAAGGGGAGCAUGCCAUGCCACACCACACAGCCAUGUGGGGAGGCACCAUCCACAGGAGCAGAAAGGAGCUGGGGGAAAGCCCAGUCCAGGGUCUUUGUUGGGCUUCUGUGGGAAAGGCCAGACAGAGCCAGGGAAACAGCUUAGGAUUGGCUAUUUUUGAUAAUUCUGGGGGCCCUGGGGCAUAGGGCCUUCCCUGAUUGUCUGGUUCCUAGCUCUGUGUGAUUUAGGGUAGGAGAAAUAUUGGCUUUGUGUGUGAGGAUUAGAUAAGGAGGUGGUUCAGAGUAUGGGCUCUGGGUGGCAGGGGAGACAGAAAACAGCAUUGGCUGUGAGUUUGACCUUGUGAUUAAACUAAUGGAUGCCAAAUAGAUGAAUACAGAAUCUACGAAAACACAGAACACUCUUUUAGCAGUAUCUACUUUUUGUUAACAAUUCUUUUAUUAAAUUUUCCCUAUUGAAAUGACUGACGUGGUUUCUGUCUCCUGACUGGUACAUUACUCUUUUCCCUGGAAUUCACGGGCAGGGAAGUGAUGAUACAUGUUUGACUGUUUGCCUCCUCUUCGUUCUCUGAUGUGUGAGGGAAGGGCUAGACCCUUCUACAUCUUUCUGUCUGGAUGAAGCUCUGAUGUUGUCAUUUCCUCCUCCUUCCCUAAUGCAGUAACCAUCUCUGUCAACCUGUCAUAGAAGGUCAUUUAAGUGACUUUGCCAACACAUAAACAGUACUGCAGUGAAGAUAUACCACACUUUGAAAUUGGUUAUUAGGUUUAAAUAAUAACCAAUUUAAACUGUUUAAACAGUUUAAACUAAUUUAAACUAAUAACUUAUGAUAUAGUAACUUAAUAAGUGAAAAAAAUCUUGGACCAAUAAGGAUGGAAGAGAAGUGUAGGAAUAACUGGUCAGAAUUAAAAGGACUAAAUCACGACUUUUAUUUCUUUUUGUAUUUUUGAAGCUCUGAUCUUGGUCCGGGUCAUCAUGCCUUUUUGUUGAAUUGAUCUCUUUAUCAUUAUCUGCUCUUUCUCCUCAUCCUCAGCAGUAUUCCUUGCUCUGAGUCUACUUUGUCUGAUAGGCACUUCAGCCUUCUUCUGAUCAUGCUUGCAUAAUACACCUUUUCCCAUCCUUUUACUUGUAGCCGGCCUGUGCCAUUGCCCUAGUGGUGAACUGCUGUUGCUCUUUACUUGGAGCUGGGCCCAUGGUAAGGGUGGUGACUUUCUUGGUUCUCUUAGUCCUGACUUCAUCUUAGGCAGGUACUAUGUGCCUGGACUUCAGGGUAGGGCUUUCUUAGCAUUGCAUGCGUCCACCUUCCAUGCCACCUGGACUCUGCCUUAUAUGUGUGUGUCUGUGUAUGUGUGGUGGGGGCUCUUAUGUAAGAGAGAAUUUCCCAUGUUCCCCCCAGCCCCCACCCGAAGCUGACUUUUGCAUUCUAUCAAUGCAGAAUCCAGCAGACGAUGAUAUUUGCUGGUACCUCACCCCAGGAGCAGUAGAUCUUUGCCUGGGUCCUGGGGAUAGGGUAGGUUUCUUGCCCUCCCUCCAGUGGAUUAAGGUUUUUGCAUUAGGUCUGAGAGAGGGGUUCAGGAAGUAGGCAGGAUUUUACCCAAGUUCAGUACUGAGGGGUGCUCUCUGCAGUCUCGUGCUCAGCUCCCAGUUGUCCUCACGAGCACCUGGGAGUGGCCCUUGGAAAAGGGCUUACAAGUAAGUUCAGCCAGGAAUGCUAGUGUUACAGUAGCCCAUGCUCAGCUUUAUAAGAAUUCAUUACAAUUGAAGCUGUUUUCCUGUCACCUGUUUACAUGGCAGCCUUUUCUUCCUCCUGUGCUCUGUGAAGGGUCACAAGGUUUGCAUGUCACAUUUCUCCUUGGAGGGAUUUGUCACUUGUUAGAAUUCAGUUCACCUGAUUGCCUUUUGGCCUCAGAUCUCUGAUUAGCUCAAUAAAAGUUAUGAUUUUGUUGAUUAUCUGGCCUCUUCUUUUCGUUGGGUUGAAAGUAAUGUUCUCUUAUGGCUUUCUGUAUCUUAAGCAAGGAUACAGAGCGCUAUUUAUUCACCUGUCCCUCAGCAGAAUUAUGUAAGUAAAAUAGAAUUUAGGUUCCUCACAGAUCCAUGCAGUUUGCUAAUACAAAUACUGUUUAUAGUUUCUUUGUUUCCACAUCUACCAUUGGUUUACAUUUGAGUACCCCUUUUUUACUUUGUAUUUUGAAAUAGUUUCAAACUUACAGAAAAUUUACAAGAAUAGUAUAGAGAAUUCCUACAUUUCCUUUACUUAGUUAGAUUCAUCAAUUUUUAACAUAUUGCCACUUUACAUUUGCUUUAUCAUUUCUCCCCUUCUAUAUGUGUAUGGGUGUAAAAUUUGUUUUUCUGAAUCAUUUGGGAGUAGUUUACAAUAUUUUGCCCUUUUAUUCCUUAAUACUUCAAGUGUAUUUUGUAAGAACAAGCAAUGAUCUUCUCUUAUGUAACUACAGUAUAAUUAUUAACUUUCAGAAAUUUACCAUUGAUAGAAUAUUUUUAUUUAACCUAAAAUCCAUAUUCCAGUUUCCUCAAUUCUCCCAGUAAUGCUCUUUCUAGCACUUAUCCCCUCAGCUGUAGGCUCCAGUCCAGGAUCAUGGGUUGCAUUAAUCUGUCAUGAUCUUUAAUAUCCUGUAACCUGGAACAGUUCCUCAGUCUUUCUGUCUUGCAUGACAUUGGUAUUUUUCAGGAACAUGGAGCAGUUAUUGUAUAGAAUGUUUUUCAGUUUUGGCUUGAACAUUUCAGUUUUGGUUUGUUUGAUGUUUCGUUAUUAUUGAAGUGACAUUUCUGUUUUAGGAUAUUACAGUAAUGCUGUAUCUUUCUCAUGGUAUUACAUCCAGUUGGAUGCCUUGUCUUUGUGCCUGUCAUUAGUGAUAUUAAUUUUGAUUAUUUAGUCAAGGUACUGUCUGGUUCCUUCAUUGGAUAGUUGCUAGUUUUCCUCUUGCGUUUGUUUUUUUGUUUUUUUCCCUAACUUUUUCUCCCUGUGGCCAGGCACGGUGGCUCACGCCUGUAAUCCCAACUCUUUGGGAGGCUGAGGCUGGAAGAUCACGAGGUCAGGAGAUUGAGACCAUCCUGGCUAACAUGGUGAAACCCCGUCUCUACUAAAAAUACAAAAAAUUAGCCAGGUGUGAUGGUGGGUGCCUAUAGUCCCAGCUACUUGGAAGGCUGAGGCAGGAGGAGAAUUGCUUGAACCAGGGAAGCAGAGGUUGCAGUGAGCUGAGAUCUCGCCACUGCACUCCAGCCUGGAUGACAGAGUGAGACUCCAUCUUAAAAAAACAACAACAACAAAAAAAACCUUUUUCUCCCUGUGAUUUCCUGAAACCUCUAAAAAGCAUCUGUGGGGAGACAUUUUGUGACCAUAUAAUUAAUCUGCUCCUUAUAAAACAUAAAAUACAUGCCUUGGGUUUUCGUAGAGUAGAGAAAGGGAUCGAUCAGUGAUUCAGGACCAUUUCUUGUAAAGCUUCUACAGAGAGGGUAUACCAUCAGAGAGAAAAUGUACUGGGGAGAAGCACUUUACACUGUUUCAACCAGCAAGGAAUAUUUCUGUCUCAGCUUUCACUUUGAGUGGAGGGCAAAGAAAAAGAAUCACAUGAGAACUUGUAGCUGCUGACCAGCUGCUCCCACAUGGGUUUAGAAACUGGUUUUACACUAUUUAUGUGACCUCCAAUAGCUGCAAGUUGGAAAUCUUGAUUUAAAGUGGACCUGAGUUUUUACUGUCUCUGAGUGCUUGACAAAAGCAAGUUUAAGUCUUCCCUAACUCAAAGUUCCAAUAGAUCAUUGCAGCCAAUACGAACAGUAUGAACCAAAAGAGACACAUACACACACACACACACACACACACACAUACACAGAAACAAAAUAUCAUGAACAAGAGUCAGUAGAAACAAUAGUAACAACCUGUCAUAAUUUCAGAUAUUGGAAAUAGUGAAUGUAGACUGUAAGUUAAUUUAGUACCUUUGGGGAAGCAAGGGAAGGAAAUGAAAAUAUAAGUAAAGAAAGAGAUACCAUCAAAAACAACCAGGCAAUUUAUUUUUAAAAAAUCAAAUAUAAUGUUCAGAAGUGAAAAGCAUCAUCAUUUAGAUAAAAAAAAUUAUGGACUGGUUAAAUAUUAGAAUAGAAACAGCAGAAAUGAGAAUUAGUGAAGUAGAAGGUAAGUUUGAAGAAAUAACACAGGCUGAAGCUUAUAGAAACAAAGGGAUGUAAAACAUGAGAGGUUCAGAGAUUCCGUGAGAAGAUCCAACUUAUGUCUAAUUGGAGUUCCAGAAGAAGCUUCUACAGAGAGUGGCAAAGAGAUAAUAUUGAAACAGAUGAUGAGUGAGAAUCUUCAUAAUUGAUGAACAACAGGCCUUUGUCUGUCAUUUGUGGAGGUAGCACAACAGUUUAAAUGGAGGCCCACAGUCCAUGUCUAAAUAUUUAAAAGUUACAAAUGUGACACACUGUGAAAUAAAAUAUGUCUAUACUUCUACCUUGACAAAUAUGUCUCUGUGAUAAUCUAGAAGAUGAGGUUUACAUUUAGAGUUCUUGAACUCCACAGAGCUCUGUGCUGACACGUAGCAGCACAGAGUGAGCCAGACCUUCGCCUGUGGCCCAGCCCUUUUGUCUUUUUCCCCCCAGCUUUCUCCAUGCUGUGAGGGGCCUCAUGCAUACAUGUGAAGAUACUUAGUGUGCAUAUCUAAGCUCUGUUCACACUCCUCAUAAGCAUGCUUCUAGGUGGCACCUCUGGCCUAUGCUCACAUGCUGGUGCAUUCUGCUUUCUUUUAUUUUUUAUUUAUCUAUUUUUUUAAAGGCAGGGUUUUAUUCUGUUGCCAAGGCUGGAGUACAGUGGCCUGAUCAUAGCUCAUUAUAGCCUUGAACUUCUGGACUCAUGCAAUUCUCCUGAGUAACUGGGACUGCUAAUUAUCAUGCCUAGCUAUUUUUAUUUUUAUUUUUUGUAGCUUUCAAACCCAGCCUGGUCUCACUGUGUUGCCCAGGCUUGGUUUGAACACCUGGCCUCAAGCAGUCUUUCUGUCUCACCUCCCAAAGUGCUAGGAUUACAGGCAUGAGCCACUGUGCCUACCCAGCAUUCUGCUUUCAUAAUAGACCCGUGGAAAAGCCCCAUGCAAAACCCUGAAUGUGGCAUAGAUUCAAUUAAGUAGGGAAUUCCUGGAUCGUGGAUACCUAGAAUAUGAUGUCAGACUCAGGAUGGGUGCAUGUCCUUGGAUCUUCAGACCCCUUGCCCUAUGGGGAGAGGCGGAGUCUUUUAAAUUAUAGAAUCUAGGGUAGGGGCCUUGCUUGGAGUAGGUUCUAAGAGUGGUAAUAAGAGACAAAAAUUAUCUGGUUCAGGAAGCCCAUCAAAUUCCAAAGCAGCAAAGAAAGAAAGGAAAGAAAUUCAUGUCUAACCAUAUCAGUAAACCUGUGAAACUAGAAUAUUAAAACCAGAAAAGAUUCUUAAAAAUAUCAAGAGAGAAAAGACAGAUAAUUUACAAAGGAACCACAAUUAGUAUGCCAGGGGGCUUUUGUAUACCAAGAGUGGAACUCCUGAAGCAGUGUUUUCAAAGUUGGCAAUGAAAAUCUAAUUAUCACACAAUCUAGAAUUGUGUAGCCAUAAAACAGUUUUUAAAGAAUAAGAAUGAAAUGAAAUAAAGACAUUAGAUAAGUGAAAACAAAAAGAAUUUACUACCGAGAAUUCAUCACCGUGAUGGUUAGUAUUACGUUUCAACUUAAUUGGGUUGAAGGAUUGUUUCUGGGUGUGUCUGUGAGGGUGUUGCCAGAGGAGACUGACAUUUGAGUUGGUGGACUAGGAGAGGAAGACCCACCCUCAGUGUGGGUGGGCACCAUCCAAUUGGUUGCCAGUGCAUCUAGAACAAAGCAGGCAGAAGAAUGUGGGAUAAGCUUGCUUGCUUGCUGAGUCUCCUGGCUUCCUUCCUUCUCCCAUUUUGGAUGCUUCCUCCCACUCCUCCUGCCCUUCAACAUAAGACUCCAGGUUCUAAGGCCUUUGGACUCGGGCUUGUACCAGUGGCUUGCCAGGGGCUCUUGGGCCUUUGGCCACAGACUAAUGGCCACACUGUUGGCUUCUCUGGAUUUUAGGCCUUCGGACUUCGACUGAGCUACUACCAGCUUCUCUCUUCCCUGGCUUGCAGACCGCCUAUAUUGGGAUUUUUUACCUUGUAAUCAUGUGAGCCAGUUCUCCCAAAUAAACUCCCUUUCAUAUAUACAUAUAUCCUAUUUGUUCUGUCCCUUUGCUGAACCCUAAUACCAUCACUAAAGGACAUCCUUGAGAAGGGAAAUGACACCAAGAAGGAAGAUUUAAAAUUUAAGAAGCCAUUAAGUUGAUCCAGAGAGAAGCAUUUACUUGCUUGAAGAUCACACUUGAUUCAGAACCAAGCCUAGACUUAAACCCAGAUAGCAUGCAAGAAAGAAAUCAAGUUAACAGGGCCAGGCAUGGUGGCUCACACCUGUAAUCCCAGCACUUUGGGAGGCCGAGGUGGGUAGACCAAGACCAGCCUGGCCAACAUGGUAAAACCCUGUCUCUGUUCAAUACAAAAAUUAGAAGCAUGGUGGCGCGUGCCUGUAGUCCCAGAUACUCAGGAGGCUGAGGCAGGAGAAAUGCUUGAACCCGGGAGGCAGAGGUUGCAGGGAGCCAAGAUUACACUACUGCACUCCAGCCUGGCAACAGAGCAAGAUUCCAUCUCAAAAAAAAAAAAGAAAGAAAGAAAUCAAGUGAGCAACAGAAUUAUGUUUUCACCCAGGAAGCAGAUACCGGGUCCCCUUGGGCUCACUUUGGGAGAAGGCUUACAUUUUUGCCAGGAUAUACCAGGACUACUUAGGUUGAGUCUUACAGCCUCCAGGACUUUACUCUAAGCUUCCCAUUGCUAAUAUGUCAUUUUUCCUUUUUCUUGCCACUGAGUUGUUUGCUCAACUGGAGGAUUUUACUUUCUGCCCUUCAGGUGGUCACAUGGUAGCUCCCAUGAUAACGUAAGUAAGUCUCAGCAGUGUUGACAGGGACAGGGUGACUUUAAUUUCAUUCCUUCUCUUUUCUUUUUUUUUUGAGACGGAGUUUCGCUCUUGUUACCCAGGCUGGAGUGCAAUGGCGCGAUCUUGGCUCACCGCAACCUCUGCCUCCUGGGUUCAGGCAAUUCUCCUGCCUCGGCCUCCUGAGUAGCUGGGAUUACAGGCACGUGCCACUGUGCCCAGCUAAUUUUUUGUAUUUUUAAUAGAGACAGGGUUUCACCAUAUUGACCAGGAUGGUCUCGAUCUCUUGACCUCAUGAUCCACCCGCCUUGGCCUCCCAAAGUGCUGGGACUACAGGCGUGAGCCACUGCGCCCGGCCUCCUCCUCUUCUUGAUGCUUUUUUUUUUCCUUCCUGUUCUGCCCCUAGUGGUUCUAUGAGUCCUUCAGUUCUCCCCAUUUCUCCAUGACACACCAGGAGCCAUGUCAGAUGUGAUUUCUGACCUGGGGCCCCGAAUGGCACAUGGAGAGGAAGUACUGAACUGGGGUUGGGUAUAAGAGGGCUUAAGAUGCGUGAAAAAUGUUGAGUAGGGUAUUUCAAGAGAUAGUUGAAAUAAUAUAAUACCUUUUGUUUAUGUCACUGUACUUGGCAAAUUUGAUCAUAUGACAUCUCAUUUGAUGUCUUUGAGAUGACAGAUCGUGUCCCUUCUCUAGUGCUAAGAUCCUCAGAGAGGUUAAGUGACUUGCCAGUGACCACUAAGUUAGAAAGUGGCAGAGCCCCAGAACUACCCUUGCGGCUGCUUUCUAGUUUCUAAUGAGAUGCUUUUUCCCUAACACCAUCACUAACACCAUCUUGUCUCUAUGAAGUGAUGGCUUCCUAAAUGCCACUAAAGGAUAAUACUUUUUAUUUUUGAGAUGGAGUUUCACUCGUCACCCAGGACGGAGUGCUAUGGCGUGAUCUUGGCUCACUGCAAUGUCUGGCUCCGAGGUUCCAGUGAUUCUCCUGCCUCAGCCUCCUGAGUAGCUGGGAUUACAGGCACCCACCACCAUGCCCAGCUAAUUUUUGUAUUUUUAGUAUAGACAGGGUUUCAUCAUGUUGGCCAGACUGGUUACGAACUCCCGACCUUAGGUGAUGUGAUACGCCUUCCUCAGCCUCCCAAAGUGCUGGGAUUAUAGGCCUGAGCCACCGUGCCUGGCCAAGGGUAAUACUUUUCAAUCAGCCAAUAAGAUUCACACGGAAUUUGCUUAUUUUUAGUAUUCCUGUCAGUAUUGAUGGAUUUCUUUAAAAGUUUUUUCCAUAAAUCUAUUUGCCCCCCACCUCCUCAACUCCUCCAGCAUCUGCCCCCUUUCUUCCUUAUACAUAUUGUGAAGUCUAACUUGGGCCUCAAUCAUCAUCAGUUUUAAAUUAGUGGUAUCCAUACUAACCAGGAUUUCCUGUAAUUGGAACAUUCUUCACACUUUUGGUAUUUGCUGAUUCUGCCCUCUCCAUGCAUUUUAGAAGUUUCAGACUGUUUCUUCUGAGAAAUAACUAGAGUUGGUGCAAGCUGUGUUGCACAUUUUGAUUGCAAUUUUAGUAAUGAGUGUUGCUUGCUUUUUAACAGAGGCAGGUAAACCAAGUUAUUGAGUGCAGUUUCAAACCCAAGCCACCACUGUCCCAUAGAUCAGGGGUCCCCAGCCCCCAGGCCACAGACGGGUCUGUGGCCUGUUAGGAACCAAGCCUUAUAGUGGAAGGUGAGCGGCACGUGAGCAAGUGAAGCUUCGUCUGUAUUUACAGCCACUCCCCAUCUGGCUCAUUGCUGCCUGAGCUCCGCCUCCUGUCAGAUUUUCAUAGGAGCAUGAAACCUAUUGUGAACAGUGUGUGUGAGGGAUCCAGGUUGUGUGCUCCUUAUUAGAUGAGAAUCUAAUGCCUGAUGCUCUGUCAUUGUCUCUUAUCACUCCCAUCUGGGACUGUCUAGUUGUAGGAGAACAAGCCCAGGACUCCCACUGAUUCUACAUUAUGGUGAGUUGUAUAGUUAUUAUAUAUUACUAUAUAUAUGUAUAUAUAUAUAAAUAUAUAAAUAUAAGUGUAUAUAUAUAUAUAUAUAUAUAUAUAUAUAUAUAUAUAAAUAAAGUGCACAAUAAAUGUAAUCCACUUGAAUCAUCACAGAACCAUUUCCCCACCCCCCCACCCCCAGUCUGUGGAAAAAUCGUCUUCCACAAAAGCAGUUCCUGGUGCCAAAAAGGUUGGGGACUGUUGCCAUUGACUCAUGUGACACAUUGCUAUCUUGUUGUGUUAGACAUUGCAAGCUGCAACUUUGUAACUGCCUGUAGGUAGGUCAUUAUUUAUUUAUUUAUUUACCUGUGAGCCCACAUCCAUAAAAUUAGCAGAAUAUGUCAUAGUCAAGAGACUUUGAUUUAUGAACCAGCUGAUUUAGUUUACUCACAAGCUUUGGAAGAAUCUUUUUUUAAAGGCCAAGUUUAAGACACCUUAGACCAUAGAAAUAUGUGUAUUUCCUGGCCUGUUCGAUCAUUUGAAGGCCAGAUUUUAUCAAAACAAAUGAAUCACUGUUUUUCCUUCCUUCAUCAUUCUUUAAUUGGUUUCCAAAAUAAAAUGAUUAGUGGCUGCGUUUCUCAACUGCAUUGUUUUCAUUACAGUCUUACUGGCUGUAUUGGGUGGUACAUUGGGAAAUGCUUUCAUAACUGGCGAUCACUGUUGACUGGGUUACAUGACUUCAUAGAGGCCCAGAUUCGUUACCCCGAGAAAAUCUUUGAAGGAGCAAGCUCUUUCUUAUACUUUUGUUACUAAGUUAGGGAAAAAUAUUUUAAAUAAUGGAAUCUUAGUUGCAAUGUAGGUUUUACUUUUCUUGAGAUUUAUGUUUGUUUUUAGAUAUGACAAAGGUGUGCAUUUUAGAGUUCCUCUUCCCCCAGGAACAAGGGAUUCACUUGACUUUUUUUUUUUUGAGACAGAGUUUCGCUCUUGUUACCCAGGCUGGAGUGCAAUGGCGCAAUCUCGGCUCACUGCAACCUCCGCCUCCUGGGUUCAGGCAAUGCUCCUGCCUCAGCCUCCUGAGUAGCUGGGAUUACAGGCACGCGCCACCAUGCCCAGCUAAUUUUUUGUAUUUUUAGUAGAGACAGGGUUUUACCAUGUUGACUAGGAUGGUCUCGAUCUCUUGACCUCGUGAUCCACCUGCCUCGGCCUCCCAAAGUGCUGGGAUUACAGGUGUGAGCCACCAUGCCCGGCUCACUUGGCUUUCAAAUAGAGAAUAUGCUGAGUAUUUCUGACUGCAGGUUUCUUUUUUCUGGUACUCUCAAAAGUGCGCCGUAAAUACCAGUGAGUCCCUUCCCGUUUCUUCAGCACUGCUUGGUGUGAGUGGCAUGGAGGCAUAAAGCUGGCUGGCCUAGUUAGUGUGACCUAAGUGGUUUCUUGUGAGCAUCCACUUGCUCUACAGUUGGGCCUUUUUUCCAUUGGUGAACUGCUCCUUACCUUGCGGUCCCGUAGCUAGUUUGCUACUGAGUAUUUCCCUUAUAAAACAGGAAGGAACAUUACCCUGAUAUUAUGAAGUGUGUGGUUUUAGAAUUCCACUUCAGAUGGCACUGACCUUUCCUUAAUACAGCUGGUUUCACUUAAUACCUUUUGUUUAAACAAAGUGUGUUCCUGGAAGUGGUUUCAGAAUAGUCUGUUCCUCUUGUAGCUGUUCCUUUGCUCUUAAUUUUUAAAGUGUUUUGCUGACAGUAUCAUACAUCCUUGCACAACAGAUUAGAAGUUUCUGUUUGAAGUCAUCACACUUAUGAAUUACACUCUGUCCAGAUAUGAUAUAUUGAUGACUGUAUUCAGUAGCUUAAAUAUAUAUAUAUUUUUUAAGAGAUGGGGUUUCACCAUCUUGGCCAGGCUGGUCUUGAACUCCUGACCUCAUGAUCCACCCAUCUCGGCCUUCCAAAGUACUGGGAUUACAGGUGUGAGCUACUGUGCCCAGCCUAGUAGCUUAAAGAUUUAAGUGAUUGCUUUAUUUUGCAAAACUGACCAAAUUAUUUUGUUGCUUAGGUAACUCCCCUUUAAGGAGCUCUGAUGUCUAGCAAUCUCAAUGACAAAACAAAUAAAAUAGAGAAUGAGUGUUUUUCACUUUGUAAACAUGAACAAUUCUUAACAAAAAAGCCAGAGCUGGACUAAUUAAACAAUCAAUAUGUUUUAAAGUGGAAUAUAUACCUGAAUGGAACUUUAGAAAGACUGAAAAAAAAAAGAUAAAUAAAUAAAGUGGGAUAGACAUAUCUUUUUAGGUGUGAUACCAAAAUAUUUAAACUUUAAGAAAGACUGGAUAGAAAUACAAAAUAAGAUAUUAAUAGUCCUGCUCUGACUUUUCUAAAACAGGUUUAUAUUACUUUAUUUUAAAAUGUUUAUGAACGUACCUUUUAAAAAUAGGGAUUUAUAGGCUGGGUAUGGUGUCUCAUGCCUAUAAUCCUAGCACUUUGGGAGGCCAAGGCUGUUGGAUCACCUGAGGUCAGAAGUUCGAAACCAGCCUGGCUAACAUUGUGAAACUCCAUCUCUACUAAAAAUACAAAAUUAGCCAGGCAUGGUGGCACAUGCCUGUAAUUGCAGCUACUGGGGGGUGCUGAGGCUGGGGAAUUGCUUGAACCUGGGAAAUACAGGUUGCAGUGAGCUGAGAUCGUGCCACUGCACUCCAGCCUGGGUGACAGAGUGAGACGCCAUCUCCAAAAAAAAAAAAAAAUAGGGAUUUAUAAAACAUAUAUGCAACUCAUUAAGAACUUUUUUUCUGGGCACCAUGGCUCACACCUGUAAUGCCAGCACUUUGGGGGGUUGAGGCCAGUGGAUCGCGAGGUCAGGUAUUCAAGACCAGCCUGGCCAAGAUGGUGAAACCCUGUCUCUACUAAAACUACAAAAAUUAGCCAGGCACGGUGGCAGCUAUCUGUAAUUCCAGCUACUCAGGAGGCUGAGGUGGGAGAAUCGCUUGAACUCAGGAGACAGAUAUUGUAGUGAACCAAGAUCACGCCACUGCACUCCAGCCUGGGCGACUGAGACACUGUCUCAAAAAAACAAAAAAGAAUUUUUUGAAUAAACUUUAGUUUUGUUAUAUUCUAUCAUAGAAUUAGUUCUUGUCUUUGGAGAACUUACUAACAGGAUACUUUUUUGUUGUUGUUUGUUUUUGUUUUUGAGACAAGUACUCGCUCUGUCACCCAGGCUGGAGUGCAGUGGCAUGGUCUCAGCUCACUGCAACCUCUGCCUCCCAGGUUCAAGCAGUUCUCAUGUCUCAGCCUCCUCAGUAGCUGGGACUACAGGCAUGUGCCACCACAUUUAGCUAACUUUUAUAUUUUUAGUAGAGACAGGGUUUUGCCAUGUUAACCAGGCUGGUCUUGAACUCCUAGCCUCAGGUGCUCUGCCCUCCUCAGCCUCCCAAAGUGCUGGGAUUACAGGUAUGAGCCACCAGGCCUGGCUUCUGUAUGUAAGUAUUAGGUGGUGACUCCAUACAAAAUAUUUAACAACUUGCUGGUUAACAUUUAAAUCUUUGUUGCCAAGACCUUUUCUGUGUUUUACAGUGAUUCCAAACAUGUUCCAUAUAGGAAUAGUUUGCCAAAUAGAAGAACAUGGGAUAAUCUUCUUCUCCCAUGGCUGAUGUGUUGUGAUUCCAGGUGCACAUUUCUGUUUCCAAUAACAUGGACCCAUUCUCAAGGUUAAGCAAUGCAUCAAGAGACGGCACCACGUGCCUUUUCAUUUUUUUCCUCUCUUUAUCUCCCCUUCCCCUCCUUGAUUUAAUUUCUUCAGCAGGUCAGAAUCUAUACAGCUUCCAAAAGAAAUAGUAGUCGUUGGCAAAGAUUAGUUUUUAAUUCUUCUUCUGUUAAAUACUUUUUGAUUGAAAUUGUUUUCAUUACAAAGAUAACAUUUGCUUAUUGAAAAACAAAAUAAGAAAAUUUUCUUUUUUUUAAUUACUCACUCACUAUUAAGUUUGUUAAAUAUUCUCUCAUAGCUUUUUCUCCUGGCCUUUUGAGUGUUUGAGACAUGUCUCUCUGCCUUGCAAUUUGGCAACAUUCUAUCCCACACCCAUAUAUGAAAGUGAAAGCUCUGCUUCUCCGACUACGGUUUAAUUUACUUUGUGGACAUUAUUAAUAAAAGGCAGAGAAAGACAUUGGACCAUAAUAAGUGUGGGACUUAGCAAAGCCGUAUUACUGAUUGUUAUUAGGUAUUGCUUGCAGUGGAAUCUAACAUAUUCCUGUAAAGUUAUUCUGACUAUCAAGAUAGUGAAAGUGCAGAGGAGGCAUGCCAUGAGAUUGAGUGGUAUUUUCCUGCAUGCUUUUUCUGCUUCUUGAAAAUCCUGCAGCACUUUGCCAUGGUUUCUUAUCUGGAUGAAAUAAGGCAACUAUGCCUUAGUAUUCCUGCCAUGCCUUUGUAUGCUAUACUUGGCUUUGUUCUCCAGGCCUCUUCCCACAGUAGCAAUGGAUUCUUUUUCUCUCUCUCUUUUUUUUUUGAGAUGGAGUUUGGCUCUUGUUUCCCUGGCCGGAGUGCAGUGGUGUGAUUUCAGCUCACUGCAACUUCCACCUCCCAGAUUCAAGCGAUUUUCCUGCCUCAGCCUCCCAAGUAGCUGGGAUUACAGGCAUGUGCCACCAUGCCUGGCUAAUUGUAUUUUUAGUAGAGAUGAGGUUUCUCCAUGUUGGUCAGGCUGGCCUCAAACUCCCAACCUCAGGUGAUCUGCCUGCAUUGGCCUCCCAAAGUGCUGAGAUUACAGGCAUGAGCCACUGUACCUGCCCAGCCUCAAUUAUAAUUUUUAAAAUUUUUGCAGAUGCAGAUUUAUAUAAAUUGGCAAGCCAGUUCUCAUUAUCAAAUUAACUGGUCAAAAAAAAGAAACCAGCUUAACUGGUCAAAUAUAGAUUUACUUUCUGUCAGUAAAAUUUUAAGCAUGUUAACCUGGUAUAGCUGUGAGCACCCAUGGCCCAGUCAAGUUGGCACAUAUUCUAGGGUUAAACAUCACAAAAAUUAACCCUAGAAUAAAUGCUACUCUGGUCCUUCUUAGCAAAGCUUAUGAAUAAGACCAAAAAGAUCAAACCAUUUUAAAAAAAAAAGCUGAAGAAUACUUUUUAGAGUUCCAAAACUAUCCAGGACCCAGUGUGGUAAAUUGCACAAUGUUUGCCAGCCAUUCCAGAAUUACUAGGUAUGAGCAGAAGUAGUAAAAAUACAACCAAUAACUGACCAGAAAUGAGACAGAUGAUAUAAGUAGGAUAUUACAGACAUUAAAAUAGUCAUUCUAAUUGUAUUCCAUGUGUUCAAGAAGCUAGAGAAAAGAUUGACUGUUAAGUAAAGACAUAAAAGAUGAUUGCUGGGUGUGGUGGCUCACACCUGUAAUCCCAGCACUUUGGGAGGCCAAGGCAGGUGAAUCACCUGAGUUCAGAAGAUUGAGACCAGCCUGGCCAACAUGGUGAAAACCCAUCUCUACUAAAAAUACAAAAAUUAGCUGGGUGUGGUAGUGCACACCUGUAAUCCCAACUACAUGGGAGGCUGAGGCAGGAGAAUCACUUCAACACGGGAGGCGGAGGUUGCAGUAAGCCAAGAUUGUACGACUGCACUCCACCCUGGGUGACAGAGCAAGACUCCAUCUCCAAAAACAAAAAGAAAAAAUAAUGAAUGAACUUAUUAAGAUGAAAAAUAUACUGAAUGAAGACUGUCAGAAUAAACAUUGCACAAGUAAAGACUUGUGAUUUUGAAGAAAUUUUUAUCCAUAGAAACUAUCUAAAAUGAAACAGAUAAAAAAGAAACCCUGAAAAAACACAUGAACACCACAUAAAGUGAGAGACAACAUCAAGUAGCCAAAUGUUUGUAGAAUUGGAGUCCCUGAAGGAAGGGAGGGCAUGAGGGAUCAAAAAAAAAAAAAAAGAAAAAGAAAAAAAUGGCUGAAAAAUUUCCAAGUGUAAUAAAAGCAGUAAACACACAGAUCCAAGAAUCUCAAGGAACUGCAAGCACAGGAAACAUGAAGAAAAACUAUAUACUAAAGCACAUUCUAAGCAAAUUUCUUAAAACCAUGGUUUAAAUUGGCCAAAGAGAUGAGAUACAUGACAUACCUAAGACCUAAGUUCAAGAUGACACCAGAUUUCUUAUUGGAAACAGCGUAAGCCAGGUAACAGUGGAACAAUAUCUUUAAAGCAAAGAAAGAAAACAGUUGUCUACCUAGAAUUCUUUUCUCAGUGAAAAUACCUUUCAAAAAUGGAGGCAAAAUAAGGUCUCUUCCAGACAUUAAAAAAGGAAGAAUUUAUUACCAACAGAUAUUCAGUACAAGAAAUAUCAAAGGAUGUAAUUAAAGCAGAAGGAAAAUGAUACCUGGUAGAAAACUGGAGCUGCAGGGAGUCCAAGGCUGCAGUGAGCUGUGAUCGCACCAUCUGAUUCCAACCUGGGUGACAGAGUGAGACUCUCUGUCUAAAUAAAUAAAAGAAAAGCGGAGCAAUAAAAAGAAAUGAAGACAAUGCAGAGUUUAACUGUGGGUAAAUACAUAAGAUAUUUUUUCUUUUUGUUUCAGCCUCUUAUUAAAAGAUAUGUCUUAAAGGUAAUUUACACAUUGUAGCAUUUGUAACUUACAUAGAAGUAAAGUUUGUGACAACAAUAGCACAAAGACUGGGGGUGGGAGAACGAGUAUACUCUCCUAAGCUUUUUACACUACAUGUGAAGUUGUAUAAUGUCAAUUGAAGGUAGACUGUGAUAAGUUAAAGAUACAUAUGAUAAACUCUGUAGUAGCAGAGUUAUAGCUAAUACUUGUCUAUAAAAAGUUGUGAUAAAAAUCUUUAAAUAAUCCAAAAGAUGUCAGGAAAAAAGAAAAAAAAAGAAAACAGGAAAAGCAAACAGAUGGGACAAUAAGAAGCAAAAAGCAAGAUGGCAGGUUAAAAUUCCUAUCAAUAGUUAAUUCAUCAUUAAGCGCUGGGCAGAGUGGCUCAUGUCUGUAAUCCCAGCACUUUGGGAGGUGCGUUAGGAGGAUCAUUUGAAGCCAGGAGUUGGAGACCAGUCUUGGAAGCCAAGUGAGACCCCGUUUAUAUCAAAAAAAUUUGUUUUUAAUUAGCCAGGUAUGAUGGCUUAGUUCCACUCAGGAGGCUGUGGUGGGAGGAUCACUUGAGCCUAGGAGUUUGAGGCUGCAGUGAGCUAUGAUGACAACCACUGCACUCCAGCCUAGGUGACAGCAAGACUCCAUCUUAAAAAAAAAAAAUCCUCAUUAAAAGCAGAGAUUGUGAGAUUGAAUAAAUAAGCAAGUCCCAUUUAUAUGCUGUCUAUGAUUAUUCUUUGAAUAUAAAAAUACAAAUAUGUUUAAAGCAAAAGAGUAGAAAAAGAUGUUAAUAUGUUAACAUUAAUGAAAAGAAAACCUUAGUGGCGUAUUAAGCAAACUAUAUUUUAAAAUGAAAUGUCACCAAGGAUAAAGGAGAAUUAUUUCAUAAUAAUAAAGGGAUAAAUUCAUCAAGACAUAACCUUAAAUAUUUAUGCAUGUAUUAACAGAUUCAAAAUACAGACUCUUUGAGGAUAAAUAAACAAGUCUAUAAUUAUAGUUGAAGGAUUUAACAACUAUCUCAAAAACUGAUAAAAUAAGUGGAUAAAAAAAAUCGAGGAUAGAGAAGGUUUGGACAGUAUAAUCAACUGACUUGAUUUAAUUGAUGUUCAGUAAAACAUUUUGCCCCUAAACAGCAGAAUACACAUUCUUUUCAAGUACAUAUGGAACUAUUCCCAAGGCAAAUAAUUUUCUGGGCCAUUUAAAAAGCCUCAGUAGGCUGGGCAUGGUGGCUCACACCUGUAAUCCCAGCACUUUGGGAGGCCAAGGCAGGUGGAUCACCUAAGGUCAGGAGUUCAAGACCAGCCUGGCCAACAUGGUGAAGCACUGUCUCUACUAAAAAUAGAAAAAAAUUAGCUGGGUGUGGUAGUGGGUGCCUGUCCCAGCUACUCAGGAGGCUGAGGCAGGAGAAUUGCUUGAACCCGGGAGGGGGAGGUUGCAGUGUGUCUCUCCAGCCUAGGCAACAGUGAGACCCCGUCUUGAAGAAAAAAAAAUAGCCUCAGUAAAUGUAAGCUGAUUCAAUUUGUAGAAAUUAUGAUCUCUGGCCACAUAGAAUUAAAUGAGGAAUUAAUAACAAAGGUAUGUGGAAGAUCUUUCAAAAAUUUGGAAAAUAACAUAGUUUUAAAUAAAUCAUGGGUCAAAGAAAAAAAUCAAAAGUGAAGUUAGUAUCUGGAACUGAAUGAAGGUGAAAGUGCCACAUAAAAUUUGUGGGAUGGAGCCAAAGGGAAAUUUAUAUAGUACAGAUGGUCCCUGACUUAUGACGUCUCAACUUACAUUUUUCAAUUUUCUGAUGGGUUUUUCAGGAUGUAACCACAUUUUAAGUUGAGCGUUUGUAUUAGAAAAGAACAGAGGUCCCAAAUCAAUGACAUUGGAGUCCCACUUUAAGAAAUUACAGAGACGUUCUUCGCCGAGAGUCCCCGCGGCUUCCUGUUCAACUGCUUGGACGGAACCGGCGCUCCUCCCCACCCCGGCUGGCCGCCCACAGCCAGCUCUCUUGUCACCUCCACUCCGCGCCCUCCGACCGCCCCAAGGCCCCUGCCGCCUUUCUAGCGUCACGCAGCCACCGCCGCCACAACCGCAUCUUCUUCGCAGGUGCCCCACAACUACUACCAGGACUCAGAGCCUGCAAUCAACCGCCAGAUCAACCUGGAGCUCUAGGUCUCCUAUGUUUACCAGUCCAUGUCUUACUACUUUGACCCGAUGAUGUGGCUUUCAAGAACUUUGUCAGGUAUUUUCUUCACCUAUCUCAUGAGGAGAGGGAACACGCAGAGAAAUUGAUGAAGCUGCAGAACCAACGAGGUGGCUGCAUCUUCCUUCGGGAUAUCUAGAAACCAGACCAUGAUGACUGGGAGAGCAGGCUGAGAGCGAUGGAGUGUGCAUUACAUUUGGAAAAAAAUGUGAAUCAGUCACUACUGGAACUGUGCAAACUGGCCACUGACAAAAAUGACCCUCAUUUGUGUGACUUCAUUGAGACACAGUACCUGAAUGAGCAGGUGAAAUCCAUCAAAGAAUUGGGUGACCACUUGACCAACUUGGGCAAGAUGGGAGCACCCCAAUCUAGCUUGGCAGAAUAUCUCUUUGACAAGCACACCCUGGGAGACAGUGAUAAUGAAAGCUAAGCCUUAGGCUAAUUUCCCCAUAGCCACGGGGUGACUUCCCUGGUCACCAAGGCAGUGCAUGCAUAUUGGGGUUUCCUUUACCCUUUCUAUAAGUUGUACCAAAACAUCCACUUAAGUUCUCUGUACCAUUUCUUCAAAUAAAGAAAUUUGGUACCC